CUCCAGUUUUCAACCACGUCUUCAUCUGUUGGAGGAAUGUUUGUGGUUUCAUCGGAUUCUACAGAUUGGUGAGAAUCCAUUCUUGUCUUGGCUUCAGCACUGUGGGUAGUCAUGGAUACAGAGUUUGUUUCGGAAACUUUUGCUAAUCCAGAUGUUUCCUCAUCAUUUUUCGCUUUUGCAGAACAAAUCCGCAUAUUUCCUUCUAUAAAGGAAAGAUGACGAGAAAUAAAGCGAUCAACUCGAAUGGGUAAGUUCUCGUGUUUAAAAAGGCCAUGCUUUACAUUUUUGAAUUCUGCUUCAACAGUGGCUGAGCUUGCCGUGAGGUUGGUGCUUUUGAAGAGGGGGACCAUUACUCCUGUCCAAAGUGCCACGUAGAUAUUUUUUGCACAUCUCUGAUUCGAGAGGGACUCCAGAACUAUCAUCACCCUCUGCCUCACUGAGGGCCACA